rnacentral:rRNA from 1 species
UACGAAGGGGGCUAGCGUUGCUCGGAAUCACUGGGCGUAAAGCGCACGUAGGCGGAUCUUUAAGUCAGGGGUGAAAUCCCAAGGCUCAACCUUGGAACUGCCUUUGAUACUGGGGAUCUCGAGUCCGGAAGAGGUGAGUGGAACUGCGAGUGUAGAGGUGAAAUUCGUAGAUAUUCGCAAGAACACCAGUGGCGAAGGCGGCUCACUGGUCCGGUACUGACGCUGAGGUGCGGAAGCGUGGGGAGCAAACAGG